rnacentral:rRNA from 1 species
UACGAAGGGGGCUAGCGUUGCUCGGAAUCACUGGGUGUAAAGGGUGCGUAGGCGGCGCGGUAAGUCGGGUGUGAAAUCUCGGAGCUUAACUCCGAAACUGCAUUCGAUACUGCCGUGCUUGAGGACUGGAGAGGAGACUGGAAUUUACGGUGUAGCGGUGAAAUGCGUAGAUAUCGUAAGGAAGACCAGUGGCGAAGGCGGGUCUCUGGACAGUUCCUGACGCUGAGGCACGAAGGCCAGGGGAGCAAACGGG